CUCCUCUUCUCCAGCGUGAACUCUGCAACACAGGAGCAUGCAGGGUGGCGAGUACUGAGAACAACGACAGCCUUCUUUACUGCCGUCAAUCCGGAAGUGACUGGUACUUGCCAAGGAAGCGUGGGUGUCACCAUCGCUCCGCUGCACCAAAUCUCUCAUGACUCAAGGUAAUAAGAUACGAGAGAAGGUGUAACGGAAGGCGGUUCUCACAGGAAGCUUGGAAAUCAAUAAGAAAACCACCAUAAGAAGAUGCGAGAGAAGGUUUAGCAGAAUGUGGUUCUUACAGGAAGUUCAAAAGUUAGUAGCAAAGCAAUGACAAGCAAACACGGUAAUAAAAUACAUGAGGGUUGGUACAGAUUUAUGGAUUUUACAGGAAGCUUGAAAGUCCUAAAGAAAAUAUUGAGUGUCAGACAAAAACGAUAACAAGAUGCGAGAAAAGACUUAAUAGAAGGAGACGUUGCAGGAAACUCAAUAACAAAACAACGACAAGCAAACACGGAAUCAAAAUGCGAGAGAAGGUUUAACUGAAGGUGGCGUUUGCAGGAAGUUUGAAGGUCACUAACAAAAUUACGGUAACAAGAUGCGAGAGAAGGUUUA